UUUCCGUAGGUGAACCUGCGGAAGGAUCAUUAUUGAAUAAACCUGAUGUGACUGUUAGCUGGCUUUUCGAAGCAUGUGCUCGUCCGUCAUCUUUAAUCUCUCCACCUGUGCACAUUUUGUAGUCUUGGAUACCUCUCGAGGCAACUCGGAUUUUAGGAUCGCCGUGCUGCACAAGUCGGCUUUCCUUCCAUUUCCAAGACUAUGUUUUUAUAUACACCAAAGUAUGUUUAAAGAAUGUCAUCAAUAGGAACUUGUUUCCUAUAAAAUUAUACAACUUUCAGCAACGGAUCUCUUGGCUCUC
rnacentral:misc_RNA from 1 species